rnacentral:tRNA from 1 species
GGAGGAGUGUCUGAGUGGUUGAAGGCGUCGCUCUCGAAAAGCGGUAUGCGGGAAACCGUAUCGUGGGUUCAAAUCCCACCUCCUCCGCCA